rnacentral:tRNA from 1 species
AUUUCUUUUAGAUACAAGUACAAAAUGCUUCCAAGCAUAAGACCCCCCCCGGGAAGAAAUA